rnacentral:rRNA from 1 species
GACGAAGGAUGCAAGCGUUAUCCGGAUUCAUUGGGUUUAAAGGGUGCGUAGGCGGACUUGUAAGUCAGUGGUGAAAUCUCUCAGCUUAACUGAGAAACUGCCAUUGAUACUGCAGGUCUAGAGUAUAGAUGACGUUGGCGGAAUAUGACAUGUAGUGGUGAAAUACUUAGAUAUGUCAUAGAACACCGAUUGCGAAGGCAGCUAACGAAACUAUAACUGACGCUGAGGCACGAAAGCGUGGGGAGCGAACAGG